GCUCAGAUUGAACGCUGGCGGGAUGCUUUACACAUGCAAGUCGGACGGCAGCACGGGCUUCGGCCUGGUGGCGAGUGGCGAACGGGUGAGUAAUGUAUCGGAACGUGCCCAGUAGCGGGGGAUAACUACGCGAAAGCGUGGCUAAUACCGCAUACGCCCUACGGGGGAAAGCGGGGGACCUUCGGGCCUCGCACUAUUGGAGCGGCCGAUAUCGGAUUAGCUAGUUGGUGGGGUAACGGCCUACCAAGGCGACGAUCCGUAGCUGGUUUGAGAGGACGACCAGCCACACUGGGACUGAGACACGGCCCAGACUCCUACGGGAGGCAGCAGUGGGGAAUUUUGGACAAUGGGGGCAACCCUGAUCCAGCCAUCCCGCGUGUGCGAUGAAGGCCUUCGGGUUGUAAAGCACUUUUGGCAGGAAAGAAACGGCACGGGCUAAUAUCCUGUGCAACU
rnacentral:rRNA from 1 species